rnacentral:rRNA from 1 species
UACGGAGGGUGCGAGCGUUGUCCGGAAUUAUUGGGCGUAAAGCGCGCGCAGGCGGUCCUUUAAGUCUGAUGUGAAAGCCCACGGCUCAACCGUGGAGGGUCAUUGGAAACUGGGGGACUUGAGUGCAGGAGAGAAGAGUGGAAUUCCACGUGUAGCGGUGAAAUGCGUAGAGAUGUGGAGGAACACCAGUGGCGAAGGCGACUCUUUGGCCUGCAACUGACGCUGAGGCGCGAAAGCGUGGGGAGCAAACAGG